CGGCGACGGGUGAGUAACACGUGGGUAACCUACCUAUAAGACUGGGACAACUUCGGGAAACCGGAGCUAAUACCGGAUAAGAUAUCGAACCGCAUGGUUCGAUAGUGAAAGAUGGUUUUGCUAUCACUUAUAGAUGGACCCGCGCCGUAUUAGCUAGUUGGUGAGGUAACGGCUCACCAAGGCAACGAUACGUAGCCGACCUGAGAGGGUGAUCGGCCACACUGGAACUGAGACACGGUCCAGACUCCUACGGGAGGCAGCAGUU
rnacentral:rRNA from 1 species